CCUGCAGGACCUGGAGGUCUCUGCUGAGCAGCCCCUGGUGUUGGAAGCCCUGAGGGCGAGCGGCACCCGGUGCUAUCUAUUGCCCCACCCUGGCACUCAGUUCACCAGGAGCAGGGCAGGGACGCCAGAUGACAUGGACGAGGAUUUCCGGCAGUGCCUGUGUGAGUACGUCACCAGUGUGGUGCACUCAGCAGGGACACACGUCCGGACGGACCGAGCCGGGUAGGUGCUGACAGGGGCUCAGCUGGCUGCCAGGAUCAAGGUGGGAGAGUGGGGGCUGUUAAAGAGGGGGGGGGGCUGGAUGGGAGACAGCAAAAUGGGCCGCAAGGCGGG
ensembl:lncRNA